rnacentral:rRNA from 1 species
UACGUAGGGUGCAAGCGUUGUCCGGAAUUAUUGGGCGUAAAGAGCUCGUAGGCGGUCUGUCGCGUCGGCUGUGAAAACCCGGGGCUCAACCCCGGGCCUGCAGUCGAUACGGGCAGACUAGAGUGCGGUAGGGGAGACUGGAAUUCCUGGUGUAGCGGUGAAAUGCGCAGAUAUCAGGAGGAACACCGGCGGCGAAGGCGGCUAUCUGGUCCAACACUGACACUGAGGCCCGAAAGCGUGGGGAUCAAACAGG